UACGGAGGGGGCUAGCGUUGUUCGGAAUUACUGGGCGUAAAGGGCGCGCAGGCGGCUCUGAAAGUCAGAUGUGAAAGCCCCGGGCUUAACCUGGGAAUUGCAUUUGAUACUCUGGAGCUUGAGUACGGGAGAGGAGAGUGGAAUUCCCAGUGUAGAGGUGAAAUUCGUAGAUAUUGGGAAGAACACCGGUGGCGAAGGCGGCUCUCUGGGCCGAUACUGACGCUGAGGAGCGAAAGCGUGGGGAGCGAACAGG
rnacentral:rRNA from 1 species